GGUUGGGCUUGGAGCUAGGACUUUUCUGAGUGCAAUGAACCAACUCCCGAGUCUCUAGGACGUUCCCUAAAAAAAUUUGAUUUUUUCCCAUAGGAAUGCAUGGGUUAGGGUUGGAGCUAGGGUUAGGGUUAGGGUUAGGGUUGGAGUUAGGGUUAGUGUUGGAGCUAGGGUUAGGGUUGGGCUUGGAGCUAGGAUUUUUCUGAGUGCACUGAACCAACUCCCGAGUCUCUAGGACAUUCCUAAA